UUUGUGAUUUAUGCAUAGGUGACUAUCGGGCCGCCUCUGGAACAGGACGAGCGUCUGAGGUGCCCCGGGCAAUGGCAGCUGCAGGGCCUGAGGUUUGAGCGAGCACGGAGCAGAUGAAGAAGAGGAACCUGGUGACUGCAGGAUUGUCCGGUUAACCGAUGUGAUUUGAGCUGCUUUGUCCAAGGACAGCUUCAGUCCUGGCCCUUUGAAAGCUAAGUUGAGGGACCGUGGCUGGGAAGAGGGGAGAAGGUUGGGGAUGGCAGGGAGGGGAUUUAUAGGUAACACAGGGGAGAGGGCCGUGCUGGGAGAGUCCUAUUUGGGCGGGCAAAGGCAGAGGGGCCUACUUCUCAGCCCAAAACUAGCAUGGGCAGGGCCGUUCCCGCCCGUGUCUAUUGUUGUCUAGUUUCUGGAGUCUGUGUGCCACGUCUUAAGUUUUCUGCAGGUCUUAAUGUUCUCUUUGCACUCAAGGCAUGCUGGACGUGCCUUGGGCACGGUCUCUAGGGUCCCGAAUGCUUGUACUCAUCAAUACAGUGUUGAUCGGGCACUGCUCUUCUUGCAUCGCAAUCCUAAAGCGUUGACCGGUCUUGUCUUCUGGAAGUUUCUGGUCAGUUGUCUCUUGCUGCGGCCUUGCAGCCUGCGUUGGCAUCCACGUUCGUCAGUCAUCCAUUUUCUUGUAUCCCCGUUCUGGGACUUGGGAGUUGUUCCGUGUGUCCUCUGCGUCUUUGGGUCUUAAAACGGGGCUUCCUGCCAGUGUCUGAUGUCAUCUAGUUUCUGUAGUCUGUGUGCCACGUCUUAAGUUUUCUGCAGGUCUUGAUGUCCUCUUUGCACUCAAGGCAUGCCGGACGUGCCUUGGGCACCAUUGAUGAGCAAAAGCGAACAAGGGGGGUUGGGAGUGUUUGUUAGAGCUUGGCGUUCUUUGCCUUGAAGACCUUGGAAGUUGGUGACGAAGGAGCCAGCUAGCAGAAGUUUCCUGCUAAGUGGGCAUUGCAAUGCAGAAAGCUGUCUGCAUUUGGUUCAGGAGUUUGAAAGCAGCCAGAGGAGACCGAGUCCGUGCAAAGUUCAAAAAGAAAAAUAUUCAUCCCGAGCAAGACUUCCUACUUCAUCUCUAAGACCCCGGCCCACGACCUUCAGGAGGCACUACGCAGGCGCGAGACUGGAGCGAACUUUCCAGAACUAAUUAUAAUACGAAGCGGGUAAAGGGUAUGAAUACGUAGUAGGCGCUUAUACCCAUGCAUGUCUUUACACUAGGAGUAGCUGCUUGUUAAGCUGUACGGUGUGCAAGCUAGGAGGAGGAGAACCCCCUUGCACUCCAGCUCUGGGAAUAAACAUACCUGCUUUAUAACUCAUUUUGGGUUAUAGGGUUUGACUCCGCAAAGCAAUUUGGCACUACAGAUGGGACACCCUCUCUGCCCGGCUGCAGGAUCGGUGGGGAGUGGGACAUUCUAAGGCGCGCCCCGGUAAGCUGUUUCUCCGGAGAAUCUCCCAUCUCUACCCGAUCGCUGCGGGGGGAGAGACGGCCCAUCAGCAGGCGGACCAGGUAUGUGAUUUACGUAUGAUACGGAAGAAUAAUUUGGAUGUACCUGCAGGGUAGUAGGGGACGAGUCUGUAAAUUGUGGAUGGGACGCCUCACGUGGUGACGAAGGGUUAGGGUGCCUUUGCCGAGAGCCCGUAAGUCCGUCAGGGAGGGAUAUGAAUCCCCUACUUGCGCGGGGUGAGGAGGUGGCACUGCCCGCCCCUGGGUAAAAUAGCAAAUUCGCUGUUGUGGUCUGGUGUGGGUGCUCGCUGCUGUGAUAGCAGAGCAGCAGGUAAAAUAUAAUCCCAAGCUUCUCGUUAGACGGAGACGCAGAUUGAGGGGUUGUAGUAUUAUAGACAAGAUAAUAUUAUAGUAUAACGUUAUUAUGAAUUGGGUUCUCCUUGCUGAGGAAGAAGGAGUGCUGCGUAUGAGGUAGCUAUCGUCUUCUACACCUGUUGCAAAUCUUCAGUAUCGGUACCGUGUGUAUUUUAAGAUCGUUAAGAGCUAAUUUUAAACUUCUCCUAUGUUGUGGAGUGUUUGUAUGUGAGUGUGGUUGCGUGAGACGCGCAAUUGAGCGCGAAGCGAGUGCGGAGUUCCGAUCCGCGGUUCUGCUCUCCUGCGAAGGAAGCAGCCGGAGAAGAACAAAGCGAGCGAUCACUGUUAUACGUUGUGUGUUUUAUGUCAUAAGUAUACUCUGUGAAUUGUUUGUUUGACGUAUAACAGAGUACCAGUGGAAUUGAGAGGGAUAGCUUAUGGGGGACGUUCUUCCUCAGAGGUGGACUGAGCUGAAAAUGUUGAAAUACUUGCAAAUUGUUUAGAAGCCCUGUUUGUCUUGAUCCUAGGAAUGCACCUGUGAAGCCUUUUAAUUCCAAACAUCUGUUGAGCCGGCAAAUGGGUAUAUUUACCUCAGACCUUUGGAAUGGAAGGCUGCAAAGGAUGACAUUCUACAAUAGCUAGUGUAGAAGGAGGGAAGGAAAAACAAAAGAGAAAAACGGGAGAAGGGAC